rnacentral:rRNA from 1 species
GACGUAGGGGGCGAGCGCUACCCGGAGUCACUGGGCGUAAAGGGCGUGUAGGCGGCUGGGUACGCCGCGUGUGAAAGUCCCCGGCUCAACCGGGGAGGGUCGCGCGGGACGGCCUGGCUCGAGGGCGGGAGAGGCGGGUGGAAUUUCGGGUGUCGCGGUGAAAUGCGUAGAGAUCGGGAGGAACGCCGGUGUCGAAGGCGGCCCGCUGGCUAGCCGCUGACGCUGAGGCGCGAAGGCGUGGGGUGCGAACCGG